rnacentral:lncRNA from 1 species
GCACAGAGAUCAACAGUGGUCUGUAUGGACUGACAGCACAGAGACCCACUUCGGUGUGUAUGGACUGAUAGCACAGAGACACCAAUGUCAGUCUGUAUGGACUGACAGCACAGAGACCAACAUUGUUCUGUAUGGACUGACUGCACAGAGACCCACAUCGGUCUGUAUGGACUGACAGCACAGAGACCAGCAUUGGUGUGUAUGGACUGACAUAACAGUGUGAUAACACCAAUGUCAGUCUGUACCCACUGAUAUAACAUCAUAACACCAACAUCAGUGUGUAUGGACUGCUAUAAUGCUGUGAUAACACCAAUGUCAGUCUGUGCCCAUUGAUAUAACACCGUCAUAACACCAACAUCAGUGUGUAUGGACUGCUAUAAUGCUGUGAUAACACCAGUGUCAGUCUGUGCCCAUUGAUAUAACACCGUGAUAACACCAACAUCAGUGUGUAUGGACUGAUAUAACACCGUGAUACCACCAACGUCAGUCUGUAUGGACUGACAGCACAGAGACACCGACGUUGGUCUGUAAGGACUGACGUAACAGCAUGAAAGCACCAACAUCAGUCUGUUCUGACUGACAUAACACCACGAGGACACCAACAUCAGUCUGUUCCGACUGACACAACAGCAUGGCAGCACCAAUAUCGGCCUGUAUGGACUGCUGUAACACUGUGAUGGCCC